rnacentral:rRNA from 1 species
CCCUUAGAUGUUCUGGGCCGCACGCGUGCUACACUGAGUGGAUCAGCGGGUCAGGUUGCGCGAAAGUGUUUCCUAAUCUUGAAAUCCGCUCGUGAUGGGGAUUGACGGUUGCAAUUUUCCGUCAUGAACGAGGAAUACCUUGUAAGCGCGGGUCAUCAUCCCGUGCUGAAUACGUCCCUGCCCUUUGUACACACCGCCCGUCGCUCCUACCGAUUGAGUGGUCCGGUGAGGCUUUGGGAUCUGAGCGGAAAGAGCGUUUCGCUGUUUCUGCUCGGAAAACUCAGUCGAACCUUAUCAUUUAGAGGAAGGAGAAGUCGUAACA